rnacentral:misc_RNA from 1 species
UCCGAGUUGACCCCGGCAGUCUCCUAUGAGUCCCCGGCAUUAUCCGCUGGCAACAUAGAACGAGGGUUGCGCUCGUUGCGGGACUUAACCCAACAUCUCACGACACGAGCUGACGACAACCAUGCACCACCUGUGCACGGCCCUUACGGACACCGUAUCUCUACGGCUUUUCCCUACAUGUCAAGCCCAGGUAAGGUUCUUCGCGUCGCCUCGAAUUAAGCAACAUGCUCCGCCGCUUGUGCGGGCCCCCGUCAAUUCCUUUGAGUUUUAAUCUUGCGACCGUACUCCCCAGGCGGAAUGCUUAAUGCGUUAGCUGCGCCACUGACAGGCAAGCCUGACAACGGCUAGCAUUCAUCGUUUACGGCGUGGACUAC